GACGUAGGGCGCGAGCGUUGUCCGGAAUUACUGGGCGUAAAGGAGCUACGUAGGUGGUUUGUCGUCGUUGUUCGUGAAAACUCAACAGCUCAACUGUGGGCGUGCGGGCGAUACGGGCAGACGUUGAGUACUGCAGGGGAGACUGGAAGUUCCUGGUGGUAGCGGUGGAAUGCGCAGGAGUAAUCAGGAGGAACACCGGUGGCGAAGGGCGG
rnacentral:rRNA from 1 species